GGACUACAAGGGUAUCUAAUCCUGUUUGCUCCCCUUGCUCUCGCGCCUCAACGUCAGGUUUAAGCUAGAAAACCGCUUUCGCCACCGGUGUUCCUCCACAUAUCUACGCAUUUCACCGCUACACGUGGAAUUCCGUUUUCUCCGCCAUCCCUCAAGAUUGGCAGUUUCAAAUGCAGCUCCGAGGUUGAGCCUCGGAAUUUCACAUCUGACUUACCAACCCGUCUACGCGCCCUUUACGCCCAAUAAAUCCGAUUAAUGCUUGCACCCUCCGUAUUACCGCGGCUGCUGGCAC
rnacentral:rRNA from 1 species